rnacentral:rRNA from 1 species
CCGAUGGCGGGGGAUAACUACUGGAAACGGUAGCUAAUACCGCAUAACGUCGCAAGACCAAAGAGGGGGACCUUAGGGCCUCUUGCCAUCGGAUGUGCCCAGAUGGGAUUAGCUAGUAGGUGAGGUAACGGCUUACCUAGGCGACGAUCCCUAGCUGGUCUGAGAGGAUGAUCAGCCACACUGGGACUGAGACACGGCCCAG